UCUCCCACCUCCACCUUGUUCUCCUAUCUCUGGAUUCUUCUCUUUGAUUUGAGAUUCGCAACUAGUAGUCUUAAUGGGUCAUAGCCAACUUUUUGUCCAGAUUUCUUCAAUUUAUAGGUUUUAUUUUGUUGAUUUUGUCAUGUAAAGCAAUACAGCUCUGCUGAUAACAUUGUGCAUUGCACUCCCAGGUAGAGGAGAAUAUGCGAUUAAGGACUGAACUUCAGAAAAAAAUUCAGGAACUUGAAAAAUACGUAAGUGCUUCUAAUAGUUUCUGCUACUCUAUCCAAUAUGAAUUGAAUUGCCAGCUGAUUAAAUCCAAGUACUAAACCUGGAGAAUAUGGACAAAACCAGGCACUGGAAAAUCGUGGGCUGUAGCGCAUACACAGGGGAGGGGUUGCUUGAGGGAUUUGAUUGGUUGGUUCAGGACAUGAUGAUACCUUAGGAUCUAGUCAACAUUAAGCAAUAGAGUUAGGUUUUUUUAUUGGCCCUCUCAGAGAACUGAUUAAGGUCCAUUUGUACUGUUUUAUUGAUUAUCUUAUUGUUGUGGAAUUUAGUCAAGCUGUGAAUUCGACAAAAAAAAAAAGUGAAGCUGUGAAACUUUUUGGGUCAAUAGUAUUAUUAAAACUUUCAAUGGGAA